GGUAACGUGGCCGAGUGGUCUAAGGCGCUGGAAUUAGGUAAUGUCGUUUGAUUCAGUAAUACUGAUUGCGUAAUCCAGUCCUCCGGGGCGUGAGUUCGAACCUCACCGUUAUCA